rnacentral:rRNA from 1 species
CAGUAGCCGCGGGAAUACAGAGGGUGCGAGCGUUAAUCGGAUUUACUGGGCGUAAAGCGUGCGUAGGCGGCUUCUUAAGUCGGAUGUGAAAUCCCUGAGCUUAACCUGGGAACUGCAUUUGAAACUGUCAGGCUGGAGUCUUGUAGAGGGGGGUGGAAUUCCAGGUGUAGCGGUGAAAUGCGUAGAGAUCUGGAGGAAUACCGGUGGCGAAGGCGGCCCCCUGGACAAAGACUGACGCUCAGGUGCGAAAGCGUGGGGAGCAAACAGGAUUAGAUACCCCUGUAGUCCCUGUCUCUUAUAC